rnacentral:lncRNA from 1 species
GGGCUCUUUGCUCCUACAAACAUGCCCAGAUUUUGCUGCCACUCUCUGGGAGGAAUUUCCAGUCUCUCUCCUGAAACAACCGGCCCCUGUUCCAGCUUCCUGCGAGUGCCUCCAAUUGAACACAACCCACCAGAGGCAUUAUUCCUCCCAUUUCUACUGAAUCGCCUUCCUUUUUUGUUUCUGUCUUGCUAGGCUCAUAGGACGCCUAUAGACAGGCAACACUGUCUGCAACCAAAUAUGAUAAACAUGGUCCAGUUAGGGCCGUGAGUGCAGUUUUGGAUCAAGUAGCCACAGACUUCCAAGCAAUAUGGUAUUGAGUGGAGUACUGCUUUUUUUUUUUCUUUUUAAAGCAGCAACACAAAUGGAUGAGUCAACAUUUAAGUUUGGAAAAGCCAAAAGGAAGGCCAAAUAAUGUUUUUUUAAAAAAAUGUUUUGUGAGAAAUCUGAUACAACAGAAAACGAAAUCUGGUGGGUGGAAAGAACUACAUUAUUUAUUGGUUAUAUUUUUAACCAGUAGCAAUUGAUGACAACAAUAAACCUUUACUAAGAACCUUCUAGUUAUUAGAAAUGGGUAGUGGGACUGCUUUCUAGGAGUUUACAGAUCCUCUGGGAUUUCAUUUGUGAACACAUUGAUAAAAUUUGACCAAUGAACAGUACACAAAGUUUUCCGUGAGGAAAUACAAUGUUCAAGGAUUUUCGUACUAGUCAUAAAAUCACUCCGUUGGCUUGAGAAUUUGUAAAAUUCAAGAACAUUCUAUGUCCUUGUCCUAGGACAUCAAGUUUUACUUUGAAAAAGGGAGAUACAAUAAUUCUAAAAUUUUCUACAAACGUCUAUUAAAAAUUAGAUCUAUAAUAGUGAUACCACUUUUUAUUAUUUUCAAUUUACC